UGGCCUUACACGACUCGGCUCUGAGCUUGGGCGUCCAGCACACCCACCCAAGUUCUCCUGUUUGCAAUCCGGCCAUCCCGCACACACGCAGAAAAUCUGCCGCCCUAAUUCGUUCGUCGAGCAGGAAGCGUGAUGCACAAUCCAUGGGGGAGGGCGUCUCUCUGGCAUCGGAGGAAGAGAUCUCCCUGAUUGCCGCAGCUUCUUCAAUCGCUAGCACCCUCCCCCUCAGUCCCCUGCGUGUCUGCAACUAUGGAUCUCUACGUGCGGCGGCGGCGGCGGCUCCCAUCGGUAGAAGCCCCGGCGUCUCGGUGACGGCUCAGCAGCGGCCUCUCCCUCUCGUGAUAGUAGCACCACCCUCGCAUUCGCGUCCCCACCGAUUAUGCUGUCAAGCGGUCUGCAGGAUACACUCCAAUCCUCCACCGGCGGGGCGGUGACAUCAUAGCUCCAUCCAUCUCCUUAGUCAGCUGGUGCCACCGGUGGGCAAGGACAUCGGGGUUGCCGUAGUCCUAGUGCUUUUGUGAGCCGACCGUCCCAUUGAGGCCAGCGGGCACAAGCUCCCAAGGAGAAGGGGCCCAUCAGAUUAGGUCAGAGCUCCCCUUCUACGUGCCUUACAACCCACUAAACACCACUAAACACCGAUCAAGAAGCUUCCAGCCAGACUUGAGGCGCACAGGACAAGAUCUUGAUCGUCGAGGGGUUCAAAAUAAAUGGAGACCUAGUGUCUUAUCUCAUAUAUUUUGUUUCUGUUUCAAAGAUGGAUUGAUAUACAUGUCAUGCAAUACAAAUGUGCCAUGGUAUACCAUAGUUUGUGUUACAUCCUACUCUUA